GAUGAAGAACGUAGCGAAAUGCGAUACUUGGUGUGAAUUGCAGAAUCCCGUGAACCAUCGAGUCUUUGAACGCAAGUUGCGCCCGAAGCCAUUAGGCCGAGGGCACGCCUGCCUGGGCGUCACACGUCGUUGCCCCCCCAUCUACUCCUUCGGGAUUGCGGGGGGCGGAUGAUGGCCUCUCGUGCGCCUCGUCGCGCGGUUGGCCUAAAUGCCAAGUCCUCGGCGACGCACGCCACGACAAUCGGUGGUUGCGAAUCCUCGGUUGCCUGUCGUGUGCGGUCGUCGCGCAUCGAGGGCUCGAAAAAAUUGCCGGGCUUCGGCUCGACUUUCAACGCGACCCCAGGUCAGGCGGGGUUACCCGCUGAAUUUAAGCAUAUCAAUAAGCGGAGGA
rnacentral:misc_RNA from 1 species